rnacentral:rRNA from 1 species
GACGUAGGUGGCGAGCGUUAUCCGGAAUUAUUGGGCGUAAAGGGUGCGUAGAUGGCCUGAUAAGUUAGCAGUGGGAAAUCGAGGCUCAACCUCGUGGAAGCUGGUAAUACUGUCAGGCUCGAGUGCAGGAGAGGUUAACGGAACUCCAUGUGGAGCGGUAAAAUGUGUAGAUAUAUGGAAGAACACCAAUAACGGCGAAGGCAGUUAACUAUUCUGUUACUGACAUUGAGGCACGAAAGCGUGGGGAGCAAAACGG